GACGAACGCUGGCGGCGUGCUUAACACAUGCAAGUCGAACGAAGUGGCGAACGGGUGAGUAACGCGUAAUCAACCUGCCCUUCAGAGGGGGACAACAGUUGGAAACGACUGCUAAUACCGCAUACUGAAGGAGGGGAUUGCGUCUGAUUAGCUAGUUGGAGGGGUAACGGCCCACCAAGGCGAUGAUCAGUAGCCGGCUGGAGGGGAUGAACGGCCAAAUUGGGACGGAGAAACGCCCAAGACUCCUACGGUAGCAGGAGGUGGGAAAUCUUCCGAAAUGGACGAAGUUCUGACGGGUAAACGCCGCUGAGGGGUGGCGGGCUUUCGGGUUUUAAGGCUCGGUAAUUCGGGAGGCGUUACCGAAAAGGAAGCCACGGCUAACUACGUGCCAGCAGCCGCGGUAAUUC
rnacentral:rRNA from 1 species